rnacentral:pre_miRNA from 1 species
UUCGUGUUCACAGCGGACCUUGAUUUAAUUUCAUACAAUUAAGGCACGCGGUGAAUGCCAAGAGAGAAGCC